UUUUUUCCGCUUAGUACAAUGACGCAGUUAGUGAGGUGAAACCGAGAUGCGUCAAUUACUAGUUGAAAACUAUUUCCAAUUUAAUAUGUUUUUACAGAUGAAAAAUAAAAUUCUAGGCAAUAUUUCUUGUCUUUAAAACUA
rnacentral:snRNA from 20 species